rnacentral:rRNA from 1 species
GAUGAACGCUGACAGAAUGCUUAACACAUGCAAGUCUUUGGCGAAUCUGUGCUUGCACCGGCUAGCAAAGGCGGACGGGUGAGUAACGCGUAAAGAACUUGCCCUGCAGACAGGGAUAACAGACGGAAACGACUGAUAACACCUGAUACAGUUGCCGGCACGCAUGUGCCUGGCAAUGAAAAGAGAUGCUGCAGGAGAGCUUUGCGUCCUAUUAGCUUGUUGGUGAGGUGACGGCUCACCAAGGCGAUGAUAGGUAGCCGGCCUGAGAGGGUGAACGGCCACAAGGGGACUGAGAUGCGGCCCUUACUCCUACGGCAGGCAGCAGUGGGGAAUAUUGGACAAUGGGGGCAACCCUGAUCCAGCAAUUCGGUGUGCACGAAGAAGGUUUUCGGAUUGUAAAGUGCUUUCAGCAGGGAAGAAGAAAGUGACGGUACCUGCAGAAGAAGCGACGGCUAAAUACGUG